ACUAAUCUGUUGUUAACUAUAAUUCUGAGUAGUAACAGUAUUCUCCAAACUCAAAGAAUUUGGCGGCGUCCUAACUCAUUAGAGGAACCUGCCCCGUAAAUGAUGAUCCACGAUUAAUCUGUCUAUGGUCAUUAGUUUGUAUACCGCCGUGUAGGGCUUAUUAAAAAAUAAACUCAUAAUUAUGUCAGUUAACACUUCAGGUCAAGGUGCAGCCCAUACCAUUGUGGAGGUGGGUUACAGUAAAGGUCUUUACAAAUUGAAGUUUGAGAAACAUCAUGAAGUUGGAUUUAAAAGUAAAAUUAAUUUAAAAAAUUUGAUUGAGUACCA
rnacentral:rRNA from 1 species